CAAUAGCCCCGAUUGCAGCGGCAUCCUUUUUCUUUUUUUCUUAGAAAAAAGAAAAAGAUACAGCGGAAAGCGGGAAUCAGC
rnacentral:sRNA from 1 species